rnacentral:tmRNA from 1 species
GGGGGCGCACUGGUUUCGACCGGUUUGAUCUCGCUCUCGAGUUGCGUGCCGGGGACCCCGAGUCACCCCGUAAAACCCUCCCGGGAACAGGCUUAAUUGCCAACGAUUUUGCACUCGCUGCCUAGUCUUACCUAGCAGCCGUUCCCGCGGGGAGUGCCCGCGGCCUCGCGGGGACGUAAACAGCGGGCUGGCCGACAAGCUCCGCACUUCGGUGCGUCGGCGAGACAACAGAGGUGCUGGUCCAACGAGAGCCGGUCCGAGGGCGCUCCGCGGGCGAGAUACAAACCAAGGACUAUGCACGUAGACGCUCGCGAGACGGGCAUUCCGGGACGCGGGUUCGAUUCCCGCCGCCUCCACCA